CCUACGGGAGGCAGCAGUGGGGAAUCUUGCGCAAUGGGCGAAAGCCUGACGCAGCCAUGCCGCGUGAAUGAUGAAGGUCUUAGGAUUGUAAAAUUCUUUCACCGGGGACGAUAAUGACGGUACCCGGAGAAGAAGCCCCGGCUAACUUCGUGCCAGCAGCCGCGGUAAUACGAAGGGGGCUAGCGUUGCUCGGAAUUACUGGGCGUAAAGGGAGCGUAGGCGGAUAGUUUAGUCAGAGGUGAAAGCCCAGGGCUCAACCUUGGAAUUGCCUUUGAUACUGGCUAUCUUGAGUGUGGGAGAGGUAUGUGGAACUCCGAGUGUAGAGGUGAAAUUCGUAGAUAUUCGGAAGAACACCAGUGGCGAAGGCGACAUACUGGCCCAUUACUGACGCUGAGGCUCGAAAGCGUGGGGAGCAAACAGGAUUAGAUACCCUGGUAGUCCACGCUGUAAACGAUGAGUGCUAGUUGUCGGCAGGCAUGCCUGUCGGUGACGCAGCUAACGCAUUAAGCACUCCGCCUGGGGAGUACGGUCGCAAGAUUAAAACUCAAAAGGAAUUGACGG
rnacentral:rRNA from 1 species